rnacentral:rRNA from 1 species
CCUACGGGUGGCAGCAGUCGAGCAUCAUUCACAAUGGGGGAAACCCUGAUGGUGCGACGCCGCGUGGGGGAAUGAAGGCCUUCGGAUUGUAAACCCCUGUCAUGUGGGAGCAAAUUAAAAAGAUAGUACCACAAGAGGAAGAGACGGCUAAUUCAGUGCCACCAGUCUCGGUAAUACAGAGGUCUCAAGCGGUUUUCGGAAUCACUGGGCGUAAAGCGUGCGUAGGCGGUUUCGUAGGUCGUGCGUGAAAGGCGCGGGCUCAACCCGCGGACGGCACAUGAUACUGGGAGACUAGAGUAAUGGAGGGGGAAGCGGAAUUCGCGGUGUAGCAGUGAAAUGCGUAGAUAUCGAGAGGAACAC